ACAGGUUAUAGCUUAACUUAUAAGUAUUAUUAUUUACAUUAAUAAUGUAGUUGGUGUAAAACGACUUAACUUG
rnacentral:tRNA from 1 species